GAUGAACGCUGGCGGCGUGCCUUAUACAUGCAAGUCGAGCGAACAGACGAGUGGCUUGCUCCUCUGACGUUUGCGGCGGACGUGUGUGUUACACGUGGAUAUCCUCCCUAUAAGACUGUGAUAACUUCGGGAACCCGUUGCUACUACCUGCUAAUAUCUUAUACCGCCUGGUUCCAUUGUGAAAUACGGCUUUGCUGUCACUUAUAGAUUGAUCCGCGCCUGAUUAGCUAGUUGGUAGGGUAACGGCUUACCAAGGCAACGAUGAGUAGCUGACCUGAGAGGGUGAUCGGCCACACUGGAACUGAGACACGGUCCAGACUCCUACGGGAGGCAGCAGUAGGGAAUCUUGCACAAUGGGCGAAAGCCUGACGGAGCAACGCCGCGUGAGUGAAGAAGGUCUUCGGAUUGUAAAACUCUGUUAUUAGGGAAGAAAAAAUGUGUAAGUAAAUAGGCACGUGUUGACGGUACCGGAACAGAAAGCAACGGCUAACUACGUG
rnacentral:rRNA from 1 species